rnacentral:rRNA from 1 species
CUGCUGCCUCCCGUAGGAGUUUGGACCGUGUCUCAGUUCCAAUGUGGGGGACCUUCCUCUCAGAACCCCUACGCAUCGUCGGCUUGGUGGGCCGUUGCCCCACCAACUACCUAAUGCGCCGCAUGCCCAUCCGUGACCGGAGUCGCCCCCUUUGGCCGGCAGGGGAUGUCCCCUCCCGGCAUUAUGUUGUAUUAGGCGGGAUUUCUCCCGGUUAUCCAUCUGUCACGGCCAGGUUGCAUACGUGUUACUCACCCGUGCGCCGGUCGCCCGG